AUUGAACGCUGGCGGCAUGCCUUACACAUGCAAGUCGAACGGCAGCACGGGAGCUUGCUCCUGGUGGCGAGUGGCGAACGGGUGAGUAAUACAUCGGAACGUACCCUGAAGUGGGGGAUAACGUAGCGAAAGUUACGCUAAUACCGCAUAUUCUGUGAGCAGGAAAGAGGGGGAUCGCAAGACCUCUUGCUUUAGGAGCGGCCGAUGUCGGAUUAGCUAGUUGGUGAGGUAAAGGCUCACCAAGGCGACGAUCCGUAGCAGGUCUGAGAGGAUGAUCCGCCACACUGGGACUGAGACACGGCCCAGACUCCUACGGGAGGCAGCAGUGGGGAAUUUUGGACAAUGGGCGCAAGCCUGAUCCAGCCAUGCCGCGUGAGUGAAGAAGGCC
rnacentral:rRNA from 1 species